AAUAGUGGACUCUUGCAGUGUUCAAAUGCUUGUCAGAACUAGGAAACUUCCGACCUGCUACCUGGUCGACAUAAACUGCAGGCGUAGGCUCGCCCCACCACUCGCUCUCUUAGCAACAACCUGCCUCAGUGCGUGAUAGUCAGCAGCAGACAGUCACGGUGAUAUAUAUAUAUAUUUAUGUUAAAUGCUAUGGUGGCCGUGAUGUGACUUAGAAGUAGGCCGCAACCAAUACAUUUUCAACCGCGACAAUGUUUUCAAAGUAUCCCAAUUUCAGAAAAACUGCCGAAAUGGCAACCCUGUUUGCGACAAUUUCCCGCCGUUUCAACCCCCCAAAAAGGAUAUCGUCUUUUUGAUAACACCUGCCCGAAAGACAGACACGUGAUGUUGAUUGAUACAACAGGUCUAAUGGAAGACCAUCAAUCAGGUGAUCUGCCAAGGAAGGGGAGGACCAUAGCCCAGCGGUCAAACCCCAGAUCCAUGUCUGUCCUCCCUCAGCCAGGCAACUCCCACCAGCACAGCACAUGCACACACCAAAAACAUAUCUAAAACCCAGAACCAGAGAGCUUCCAGUGCACAUAAGGUUAAAUGCCUUAAAUCCUCCUGUGCCCAGCAGAAGCAGCCCAGUGUACCCAAGCCUGGGGGCUCUGUCCAACCCGUGACCAUUAAUGUCAAGCCCCAACUGAGAUCCCAGCCCCAGAGACCAUAUACAUGGUCCCAGCACAGACACCAGCCACAGGCCCAGUGUCCACAGCCCUAUUCCAUUAAAACUCAAGCCUCCACCAAGACUCCCACCUGCCCUUCAACCAAACCUAAGCCUUCCAUUCCACCUAAAUCUAAUUCGCCCAAAACUGCCAACCUAAAUUCCGGCACAACGCCUGGUACAUGCCCCCAUGAUACCACCCCCAGACCCCCCCCCCCCCCUGCUGGGGUACUGCCCCAAGAGGGAGAGGUGCCACCUGUACCACAUGAGGUACCCCUUCCACUGGCAGGUGAAGAGGACUGACAUCCCGGAAUGGGUCAGCCUGGAACCCAGCUCCCAGCUGAAAGCAGAACGUUGGUUCUGUGACCCUGAUAAGGAAAUGGUCUACUUGACACAUGGGUGAGUGAGUGGCACGACGUAGAUGUUGCCCCCCACCACAGAUCUUCAGAUGACCCUGGCCUAUAUCCCGAUUUCUAACCAUGAGAAAAUGUCUGACCCUGUAUCAAUGGUAAGGGGCAACUUCUACCUUAUCAGAGUGGGUAUAGUUAAGACUUGGGUUAAUUACUUGAGGUUGGAGCUUGCAGCUUUAGGAUUAUUCCAUUGGUUCCUUUUAAAAUGGGUAGCUGAAGUAUUUGACCCAGGUCUGAUUGGUAAUGGUAAUAUUAUGUGAAGUAAUGUAAGUUUUUCCUCUUAAUAAUCAUUCACAUUUGAAAGAAAAUAACUACUCCCUCAGACAGCUCUUCUUCUAGGACUCUCAAGGACCAACUCUGCCUGAACUUUGUCUCACUGAUGGUGGAGAAUUCCACUGUGUACAGCCAAGUCAGGAGGCUGUCCAACACCACUUGCCCAGAGCUGAACCCUCACUUCCCAACACAGUGGCGCUUCUGGGAAUCUGACUAUGGCUGGGAAGCCUAUGGUGAAGUAUCCCACCCACCAAACUGUGGGGAUUUUACUUCAUGUUUGGUGUGAGGAAGUGAAAGCCUACUGGCCAUCUCAAAUUUGACAAAGCAAUUUUCAUUUGUUUAGAGAAGUUGUUCUUAACCCUCAGUCUGUAGAUGGCUUUCCUCUCCUCCUUUCAUUGAUGACCUCUGAUGGAUGAAAUGGAUUGCUAGAACAUGUCUUGACCUUUGAAGUGACCUAUGACUCCUUUGGAGUAGAUUGACUCUAAUAACAGAUACUGGAUCAGCUAUUUAAGCAAAUGUCUACUGAUUAAAUUCAGGGCUAGGGAAAUCUGUUUCUAGAUCUGUGGUUUGGGGCCGACUUCAUCCUCCCCUGUACCACCUAGGAGAACCUUGAGCUCAUGCUGGACUGUCUUAGUAAGGGUCAGGACAGCUGCUGGCUGGGUAAAGACUGGGCCUGUGUAAAUCUCAAGAUGCUUACAGAGAGAAACUUCAUCAGACUCCACCCACCGCAUCAGAUGCAGACCCACCUUCCGCUCGCCAGACUCCCUAAGACAACACCUCAGGACACUCCCAGUUGGACAGGUAACCCUCCCCAGUCUUGAGGUGGACCCUAUGGAGAAUUUCAGCUGCCGUACCCACCGAUGUGGACCCUGAGUCAAGGGAACCCCUUUUCCAUGCUGGAGGUUCCUCCUGGGAUGCUGGUUUACAGGACGGUUCACGACCUGUUCCACAGAACCAUGCCAGAGAGCCAGGCCCAGAUCACCAGCAGGUCCAGAACACCUUCCAUUGGGACAAGUAUAGAAUGUAAGACUUUCCUCGUAACAUUCAGCACUUCAAAUACAUCAAAUUGAUUCCAAUGGAGGGUUGUGUCUCGCAUGUUCCAUGGAACAGGUGUCUCUCCAGGACCACGCUACAAUUGUCCUGUGUGUCCUCCUUCCAGGCAGAAGAAGCACAUGGAGGACACGCAGGACAAUUGUAGUGUGGUCCUGGAGAGACACCUGUUCUAUGGAACAUGCGAGAGCGCCGCCAUGGACAUCUGCCGACAGAACUUCGACCCUCGCGUGGCGAGAACCACUAGUUAUUGUGGCGUUUACUUCACCUGUGAAGCUUUUCGGUUCCGCCUCUACUCCAUCAGAGGGCCGGGGGAGACUUUACAGACUGUGGGUUCAUGUUCCUGGCUAAGGUGCUUGUGGGUAAAGCCUGUGUAGGAAAGAUUGACUAUGUCCGUCCCCCUCGACUCCCCAACACCACUAAGUCAGGACGGCAUCACUACGAUUCCAGUGCGGAUCAGAAGCAUCCUACCAUAUUUGUUGUGUUUGACAGCAGCCAGUGCUACCCCAAGUACAAAGUCCUGGCAAACGAUCACAGUGCUGUGUGAAGGGCAUAUAAAACAGAACCAGGACUGGUUUAGGAGGGCACAUUAUUUUGGAUGGAGUAUUGUUGGCUUUACACUUUUAUUUAAAUUUUCACUCGAAAUUGGACAGCCAGUUAUUUGCGACACUGAAAUGUACUAUAACAAUGUUACAUUUUUUGUGAUACAAUGAACUAUUAGGUCGAGUUCAAUACUCUUGUGGAUUGAUUGGUUUCUUUUGUUGCCUUUUAAUUUAAGUCACUCAACAUUUAGUCUAUUUGUAGAACUAUAAUGAAAACAACAAAAUGUUAGACAUGUUCUUUCUUUUGGUAAAAGGCCCUCUGUGGAAGAAAUGGAUAAAGAAGUCACUGUUCCUAACAGCUCAUUUUCUUCCAUCAACUCUUAAGUUGUCUGUGUUCAAUGAGAAGUAAAAUAAACUUUCACUGAAAAUCCAUUAGAUGCAAUGCAUCACUGCUGAUCAUAGUCAAUAAACCAAUGUAAAUGGAUAGUUUUGUAGAAAUUAAAUAUUCUGAAA